GAGCCUCUAGUUAGUUACUUACUUAUCCGAUUAUCCAUCUUUUAGCUAAUUUGGUUCUUCACUUGGCAGUUUUUUUUUUCUUCACUUGGCAGUCGGUGGUGGGUGGCAGUGAAACUCCUAACCAGCUAGCACCGAGACGCCGACGGGUGAGCGGACGGCCGGCUACGGGCGGGACGGCGGACCAGCGGCCGGCGGCGCCUCGCUCGCGACCAGAUGCAUCCAGGCCAGACGUCGUCGUCGUUGAAGACGAGUUCACGGGUAGGGGUUCGAAAUAAUUAGAGUUAGAGUAGGGUUGAGGGUUUGACGGUAUCCGUUUGUCUUUGUGUCUCAAUCUUUCUUUCCCUGCUGUGGUAGUGGUGGUUGUCUACAAAAACUCAAUAUUUCUAACACUUCCCACGAAACGGAUUGUUUUAACUACCACUAAUAAACUCGGUAUCGGAUUAAACGAAGUACCUUUUACCUGACGAUCUGCUGUAACGAACAUUUCACUAAGAACUAGCAAAGGUAUUCUAAUUUCUAGCGGCGCCCUCUUUACUUAAUUGUGUUAUAAAUACCAUCUCUACUUAACAGAAAACGCUUUAUACUUGAUAAACCUAAAGUUCAGAAAAACAUUCCCCGCUUCUACCGCUCCAUACUCCACACAGAACCUGGACAACCCCCGCUACUAGUUCUUGACCUUUCACAAUACGAGUCUUCGAGUCCCACGCGAUGAAGAGGCCACGAAUUCCGAAAACCUGGUAGCUUCUCCCCUUAACGAAUCUUAACGCACCACUAGAAUCCGAGAAAGAAAUCAAACCGCAACGACCUCUACAUUAACGAUGACGAACACAAACUUAUCGGAACUCGAACAUUAUCCCAUCACUUGGGAAAGAUAGACGCCGUCGAUGAGAGACAGCAGCUUGCGACAAAUUGUCAGGCACGGACCAACAAAACGGAACCGAAAAUAUUUUUCAACCCCACCCCCCUUUGGGGAAAAGCAGUUUUUUUUUAUCUUAUACCAUUAACUAC
rnacentral:rRNA from 1 species